GAUGAACGCUGGCGGCGUGCUUAAUACAUGCAAGUCGAGGGAACGAAGGAGAAUCGUGCUGCACUGAUGGGCGCGCGGGACGGGUGUGCAAAACAUGGAUACCGUACCUGUCAGACUGGGAUAAGUUCGGGACACCGGUGCUAAAAACGGCCAAUGUUUGGAAACGAGGGAUCUAAAAGUGACAGACGGUCUUGCGGUCACAUAUAGGUGUAUCUCGGUUGCAUUAGCUAGUUGGUAAGGUACCGGCUUACCAAGGCAACGAUGCAUAGCCGGCCUGAGAGGGUGAUCGGCCACACUGGAACUGAGACACGGUCCAGACUCCUACGGGAGGCAGCAGUAGGGAAUAUUCCGCAAUGGGCGAAAGCCUGACGCAGCAACGCCGCGUGAGUGAUGAAGGUCUUCGGAUUGUAAAACUCUGUUAUUAGGGAAGAAGAUAUGUAUAAGUAACUGUGCACAGCUUGACGGUACCUAAUCAGAAAGCCACGGCUAACUACGUG
rnacentral:rRNA from 1 species